GUGAGGAAUAUUGGACAAUGGGCGCAAGCCUGAUCCAGCCAUGCCGCGUGCAGGAAGACGCAUCUAUGGUGUGUAAACUGCUUUUGUACGGGAAGAAACACUCCCUCGUGAGGGAGCUUGACGGUAUCGUAAGAAUAAGGAUCGGCUAACUCCGUGCCAGCAGCCGCGGUAAUACGGAGGAUCCAAGCGUUAUCCGGAAUCAUUGGGUUUAAAGGGUCCGUAGGCGGUUUAAUAAGUCAGUGGUGAAAGCCCAUCGCUCAACGAUGGAACGGCCAUUGAUACUGUUAGACUUGAAUUACAAGGAAGUAACUAGAAUAUGUAGUGUAGCGGUGAAAUGCUUAGAUAUUACAUGGAAUACCAAUUGCGAAGGCAGGUUACUACUUGUGGAUUGACGCUGAUGGACGAAAGCGUGGGGAGCGAACAGGAUUAGAAACCCGUGUAGUCC
rnacentral:rRNA from 1 species